UGCUUGACGUAAAAUAUGACAUACACCGUGCUACGCAUUUCAUUCAUAUGGCGAAACCAAAGUCUGAAAUGUCUACAGUCCUCGUCAUUUAAAGCUGUCAUGAAUAUUAAUAAUAAUUACAGUAAUUAGAUUAAUCCGCGGGUCUAGCGACUGGCAUUUUGGUAUUGAAAGCAGUCCCGGCAAACGAACAACAGGGCAUAAGCAAAGAAAAAGUUGCGUGAUUGAACCCAUCGUUGGCUGUCUGUUCUAUUGUAAAGCAAAUCAAACGACAAGGUGUCAGAAGAUAUUUAAAAUAACUGAAGGAUUGAAGCCGCCGUCUGGGCUUGAUCUGCAAACCUGCAAGUGUCCGAUGAUUUCUGCAGCAACAGGAGGCGCUAGCAAACCUGCUAAGGUUUCUUCGUCGUCCCUUUGGGAUCGACUCGGCACCUGAAAUGUUCCACAGAACAGUGAAGCAGCUGUUUCAGAGGAUUGGAGGUGUUAACCUACUUUGAUGACAUACUUGUUUGGGACAAAAGAACAGCACAAUCAAAGGUUAACAAGUGUUAAAGAGAGCCAGAGCUUAGAAUUUUUGACUGAAUAAAGAAAAAUGUAUGAUUGGA